ACUUUCAGGUCUUUAACCAGCUCGUUAACGCUCAGUUUGUUAACCCUCAGUUCGAUAUCCCUCGGCUCGUUAACCCUCAGCUCGUUAUCCUCAGCUCG